rnacentral:rRNA from 1 species
GAUGAACGCUAGCUACAGGCUUAACACAUGCAAGUCGAGGGGAAACGACAUCGAAAGCUUGCUUUUGAUGGGCGUCGACCGGCGCACGGGUGAGUAACGCGUAUCCAACCUGCCCAUCACUUGGGAAUAACCUUGCGAAAGUAAGACUAAUACCCAAUGAUAUCCCACGAAGGCAUCGGAAUGGGAUUAAAGAUUUAUCGGUGAUGGAUGGGGAUGCGUCUGAUUAGCUUGUUGGCGGGGUAACGGCCCACCAAGGCAACGAUCAGUAGGGGUUCUGAGAGGAAGGUCCCCCACAUUGGAACUGAGACACGGUCCAAACUCCUACCGGAGGCAGCAGUGAGGAAUAUUGGUCAAUGGGCGAGAGCCUGAACCAGCCAAGUAGCGUGCAGGAAGACGGCCCUAUGGGUUGUAAACUGCUUUUAUAAGGGAAUAAAGUGGGUCACGUGUGACUUUUUGCAUGUACCUUAUGAAUAAGGACCGGCUAAUUCCGUG